rnacentral:lncRNA from 1 species
CCGGCAAGUUAUGUAAGAGCUUAUUGAUCUAUGAGAGGCUCGUCGCACAAGUGCAGCACCAGCCAUGGAGUCGCCCACUGCACUGGGCUGUCACAUGCAGGCGCCAACGCCGGAGGAGCUACCAAUAUCAGAAACAAGAUCGAUGAUGGGCCUCAGUGCAAUACCAGAGCUGGGGGUUGACGGGGGCGUGGCUGAGGCACACCGGGACUUGAUGAGGAGCCAGUCCUCAAAGUCUCUGCUCCGUCUCUCCACACUGCCAGAUAAUUCCGUCUCAUCCGGCAGAAGCUUGACCUGUGUUUUGUCCUGGAAUAUUUUGAGCUAUACCUACCUUUUUCCUCCUGUGCCCAAGGUUGCCUCUGCUGUGCUCUGUUUUUUUUCUCUGCUCCGUCCUGGUUCUGCCUGCUGCCAGCCUGCCCCCGUCGCCUCAGCCUCUUCAGUUUUGUUCGCAAUAAAUGGUUAAACCUUUCCUGCUUCCGUCUCCGCUUUGGUGUCCUCCUCUGCAAAUCUUAACACGCACUUUACUGUAGCGGCACAGACACUUUUUUAAUUUCCUUUUUCCUGCCAGACAGCAUUGCUUCAGGACAAACACGGUGUGUUUAUCCAACUUGUUUAUCCACACAGUUAAGCUGACAUAAACUUAUUUAAAAAGAUCAUUCUCCAAAAUUAAUCAAACUGCUGUUGUCUUUGAAGUGUUUUAAAGGAUCACCCAGGCCUCACAUCUCCACUUAAAAUAAGUUAUAAUAUAGGAAUAUAUAAAGAAGUAUCUAAAAUAUACCGCUAAAAAUAAAUGAUGUGAUGAUGUGAUUUAUUUAGGGUUAAUCGAGUUAAUUAUGGCCUUUAUUAAAAUUAUAUUUCAUAGUGAACUAAAAGAAAUAAGUGGUUAUGGACUGGUCAAACAUGUUGGUCUUGUUAUGUUAGCAUCAUUGAAAUUAGCACAUUAGCACUUUUUCUGUUCUUGUCCAAUCUGUUAUGCAAUGUGAAACUUGUACAGUUGCAAGCGCAGUUUAUCUUCCUGGUUUGUGUAUUGUAAUGUAGUGCUAUACAGUAUGUUUUAUGUCGUAUUGUCUGAUUCUGAAUGGUUGCAACUGUCAAUGGGACUGAAUGUGGAGAGGAAAUUUACUGUAUUGAGAUUGUAUCUUUUGAAUGUGCACUGUUAUUUUAUCAUCACUAAUCUCGGACUACGGAUGGAAAUCUG